rnacentral:hammerhead_ribozyme from 1 species
GCACUGCUGAAGAGUCCCACAGUAGACGAAAUGGCCGUCCAGUGC